UCCUUGGUGGCUCAGACAGUAAAGGAUCUGCCUGCAAUGCAGGAGACCCGGGUUCAAUUCCUGGGUCAGGAA
rfam:TPA: Bos taurus chromosome 20, whole genome shotgun sequence.